AUGUUAAAUGAGAUGUCAGCUAUAUCGCACACAAGUGAGGUCAUCUUCGAACUAGUGGAUGAAGCAAUUGAGGAAGUAGGUCCUGAACAUGUGGUGCAAGUAGUGACUGAUAAUGCUUCUAAUAACAUGGGAGCAAAGAAGAUGUUGUUGGAGAAGAGGCCAAACAUGUUCUGGAGCUCUUGUGCGAUGCACACGAUUAACUUGAUGUUCCAAGGGAUUGGCAAUCUACCAAGGUUUCGUAAGGUGUAUGAAAAAACGAACCAUUCACUAUCUUUGUCUAUGGGAAAACACGGACCUUGGACGACAUGA
rnacentral:rRNA from 1 species